rnacentral:rRNA from 1 species
AUUGAACGCUGGCGGCAGGCCUAACACAUGCAAGUCGAGCGGAGCGGCGGACGGGUGAGUAAUGCCUAGGAAUCUGCCUGGUAGUGGGGGAUAAGGUCCGGAAACGGGCGCUCAUACCGCCUACUAUCCGCUGAGCCUAGGUCGGAUUAGCUAGUUGGUGGGGUAAAGGCCUACCAAGGCGACGAGCCGUAACUGGGCUGAGAGGAUGAGCAGGCACACUGGAACUGAGACACGGUCCAGACUCCUACGGGAGGCAGCAGUGGGGAAUAUUGGACAAUGGGCGAAAGCCUGAUCCAGCAAUGCCGCGUGUGUGAAGAAGGUCUUCGGAUUGUAAAGCACUUUAAGUUGGGAGGCGUUACUAACAGAAUAAGCACCGGCUAACUUCGUGCCAGCAGCCGCGGUAAUUC